rnacentral:pre_miRNA from 1 species
CAGUUACUCCUUCCGUUUCGAAUUAGUUAUCGCGGGUAUGGAUGUAUCUAGAUGUAUUUUAGUUCUAGAUACAUCCAUUUCUGCGACGAGUAAUUUGGAACGGAGGAGUACUAC